UACAGAGGGUGCAAGCGUUAAUCGGAAUUACUGGGCGUAAAGCGUGCGUAGGCGGUUAUAUAAGUCGGGUGUGAAAGCCCCGGGCUCAACCUGGGAAUUGCAUUCGAGACUGCGUAGCUAGGGUGCGGAAGAGGGAAGCGGAAUUUCCGGUGUAGCGGUGAAAUGCGUAGAUAUCGGGAGGAACACCAGUGGCGAAGGCGGCUUCCUGGACCGGUUCUGACACUGAGGAGCGAAAGCGUGGGGAGCGAUCCGG
rnacentral:rRNA from 1 species